rnacentral:rRNA from 1 species
UGGGGAAUAUUGGGCAAUGGGCGCAAGCCUGACCCAGCAACGCCGCGUGAAGGAAGAAGGCUUUCGGGUUGUAAACUUCUUUUCUGAGGGACGAAUAGAUGACGGUACCUCAGGAAUAAGCCACGGCUAACUACGUGCCAGCAGCCGCGGUAAUACGUAGGUGGCAAGCGUUAUCCGGAUUUACUGGGUGUAAAGGGAGCGUAGACGGAUGUGCAAGUCUGAAGUGAAGGCCCGGGGCUCAACCCCAGGGACUGCUUUGGAAACUGUGUAUCUAGAGUGCCGGAGAGGUAAGCGGAAUUCCCAGUGUAGCGGUGAAAUGCGUAGAUAUUGGGAGGAACACCAGUGGCGAAGGCGGCUUACUGGACGGUGACUGACGUUGAGGCUCGAAAGCGUGGGGAGCAAACAGGAUUAGAUACCC